CCUAGAUAUUUUAUUUCGAAGUUUCCAAACAAUGUUCACAUAUAAUAAUAAAACAAAUCAGAGUAAAUAAAACACAUACACAUUGUGCCGGGUCGGUAAUAGACGCUUGAUGUGAUUUAUCAUUCAAUUUUGCCAUUUGAAUAAGGACUUUCCGUUUUGAAUUUUCCUUGCAGUUCAGUAUUUUUGUUGUUUUACCUGUAGUUAUUUUUAACAUUCAAACUUGUGGUUUCCCUGUCAACACGAAAUUCCAAAAAUACGUUUCCAGUAAAUACAAAUAAAUCAACAGUAUAUCAAUUGAACUUAAAC
rnacentral:lncRNA from 1 species